AUUGAACGCUGGCGGCAGGCCUAACACAUGCAAGUCGAGCGCGCGGCGGCCGUGUGCUUCCUGUCUGGUAAACUGCCUGAUGGAGGGGGCUCACUCCUGGACCCGGUAGCUAAUACCUCCUCCCAUCAGCUUUUCCCAGAGGGGAUUAGCUAGUAGGUGGGGUAACGGCUCACCUAGGCGACGAUCCCUAGCUGGUCUGAGAGGAUGACCAGCCACACUGGAACUGAGACACGGUCCAGACUCCUACGGGAGGCAGCAGUGGGGAAUAUUGCACAAUGGGCGCAAGCCUGAUGCAGCCAUGCCGCGUGUUGGAAGAAGGCCUUCGGGUUGUAAAGCACUUUCAGCGGGGAGGCGGGACCCGAAGAAGAAGCACCGGCUAACUCCGUGCCAGCAGCCGCGGUAAUAC
rnacentral:rRNA from 1 species